UUUAUGCAAAAUCCUCAGGAAACUAAACUAAUACUGGGCCUUUUUGUUUCUUUAUUUUGAAAUUAGGGUUUCACAUGUUUUGUUUCUAGGGUUUUGGCGUUAAGUCUUAUGGUCAUAAUGGGUAUGGGCUGGUUAGGCGAAGGAUGGUGUGUAAAAUGAGGGCUCGUCGAUUGCUGUAGCUAAAAAAACAAAGGAAAGGCACUUUACUGGUAAAUUCAUGUCUCUUCAAGAUCACUAGGGAAGGCCAUUCCUUCGACUUGAAAAUCUACGAGGGACCAUUUUUCCUAAGAUUCCUCUCUUUGAGUAUCCAUCCUCUGAAAAACUAAUCAAGAUUUACAUCAAUCUGCCACACAAAAAGCCACAUAUCACAGCAAUAAAAGAG
rnacentral:lncRNA from 1 species